CUACGGGUGGCAGCAGUGGGGAAUAUUGGACAAUGGGGGAAACCCUGAUCCAGCAAUGCCGCGUGUGUGAAGAAGGCCUGCGGGUUGUAAAGCACUUUCGGUUGGGAGGACUGCUUCUAGCACUAAUAUUGUUGGAAGUUGACGUUACCUUCAGAAGAAGCACCGGCUAACUCCGUGCCAGCAGCCGCGGUAAUACGGAGGGCGCAAGCGUUACUCGGAAUCACUGGGCGUAAAGCGCGCGGAGGCGGCUAGAUCAGUCGGGUGUGAAAGCCCCGGGCUUAACCUGGGAACUGCAUCCGAUACUGUCUAGCUUGAGUACAGGAGAGGAGAGUGGAAUUCCACAUGUAGCGGUGAAAUGCGUAGAUAUGUGGAGGAACACCAAUGGCGAAGGCAGCUCUCUGGCCUGAUACUGACGCUGAGGUGCGAAAGCGUGGGGAGCAAACAGGAUUAGAUACCCCAGUAGUC
rnacentral:rRNA from 1 species